GAUCUUUUUUAUCUACCCUCUAUUCUCUAUUUUACCCUCAACAAAACUAAAAAAGUACUUUAUUUUCCUUUGCUCCUUCUCGAAAGGCCUUCAAUCUCUGUACCUUUGCUUUUCCUUUUUCCCUUCUCCUUCUAGAAGACCCACACACAAUCCUUUCCUUUUUUAAAAAAAAAAAGAAAAUAUCUGCUCCACCUCUGCUUUCCCUUCCUCCGUGAAGAGGUAUCCCUUAACUCUCCACUUGUAAGCAUAUGAAAGAUUAAGGAAAAAUUGCUUAAUGGUUCAUCAGGUCAUUGGGAAUUCGCUUCGUGGUGGUACAUCUGCACUACUUACACUUUUCAGGAGUAAAAAGAGUUAUCGUCAAGGACUUGCAUUACAUUUGCCCCAAGCAUGUACUUACCCAGUGUUAGGCCUAUAUUAUCCUUUUGUUAUAUUGCUAGGUUGAGAGGCAUAUUUUCCUUUAAUCUCAUUAAUGUCUUAAGCUUUAUUAAAAUUUCACUUAUAAUAUUGAGAAAUGGAGGUUGUCAACGUUGGCACCUUGGUCAUUAUGCAUAGCACAUUGGGUGGUGUUUAUUUGCUCGUCCAAUUGAAACAAUUCUAUUUUCUAUUGUCAGUCUUAGGAAUAUGGAGUUAUUAUUGAUGUUUGACUGUGACUCACACUUGUCUUCUCUUUAUUGAUUUAAAGGUGGGGCAUUUUCCUUCUAGAAAAUCAUUUUUAUAAAGUGUAGCAUCCAAUCCCUAUAUCUUUUAAUGAGUCAUAUAGGGAUAAGCAUAAAAGAGUAAGUAAAUGCCCUUUUGACAUUCAGAUGUCAUUGGAGAUCUAUAUUCUCGUCUGAGUACAUUUUUUUCAAGAUUCAUUGAUUUUCUAGUCUCUUAAGAAUUAAUAGUUUAAAAAAAAAAAAAAAAAAGAGAGAGAGAGAGAGAGAGAGAGAGUUUGAGAAGGGCCAUAAUCAAAGAGUGCAAUGUAAGUUCAAAAUUGGGGCCCUUUUUCACUUGCUUUAGCCUGAUACUUGGUUUGAUAUUCAUAUUAUUCUCCCUUUUCCAUUUGCUCUUGUCCUUUCUGUAACUUAGUUUUCAGAUUUCUUGGUACUUCUAAUUUUUGAUAUAGUUUUACCUUGCAAUUGCAGUUUAUCUUGCCUUAUCUUUUGAGUUGGCAUGCCUUUGUAGACUUCUUAAAACUUGAUGAUGCAAACGAUGUGAAUAGCACUAAUCCUAGACAUCAUUAACUACGAAUGGACAUGAUAGAGAAAUCGCAGGGUCACGGGAAGCUGUAAUGCGAAAUGAUAAAAUUUCUGAUUAUAAGUUUCAUAACAUUUUUGUAUUUUAUUUUCCUUUCUGGUGUCUUCGCUUCAAAGUUUAUUGAGUACAGAAGCAGUGAUGAGGACAUUUUUUGGCCAGGAAGACAUUAAUUGGUUUAGAAAGAAAUAUGUUGUUGAGUUGUAUUUUAAUAGAUUUUCAAUUUAGACCAUACGUUUUUUACUUUGACAUCCAACUACAUUAUGACAUUCUAUUUUGUUAUCUUACAAUCAAGUAGCUAUAAUUUAUGUUA